AAAAGACACUUUCAAAGUUUAGAAGAGGCAGAGAAAUCCUCAAGUCACAGAAUCCUCCUUCAAAUGGCGUUAGACUCUCAACUUCUGCUGAAGGUUCUAAUAAAGAAUAUUUUUAUCCUUCCCGGAAUGGUGGCACUACCUUGGAUUUUGGCCAAAGUUCCGGCCGAGAAGCAGCUUAUCUUGGUGGUCAUGAUGCCAGUAUGCUGGGGAAUGGUGGCACUACCUUGGAUUCUGGCCAAAGUUCCAGCCGAGAAGCAGCUUGCCUUGGUGGUCAUGAUGCCAAUGUGCUGGAAGGAGAUCAUGCAUCUGAAUUAGAAGCUAUCCAGUUGCUGAGUUUGUCUGGUUGGCCUGAUAUAGUAUAUAAAGUUAGUUUGCAGGAUAUAUCUGUUCACAUUCCAUUGCACCGAUUACUUUCGAUGGUUUUACAGAAGGCACUAGGAAAAUGUUAUGGGGAGACUGCACAACCAGGUGCUAUUUCUGCUAAGUUGUCAUCUUCUAUCCCUUGUGACUUUUUUGGACAUAUUCUGGGAGGCUACCACCCACAUGGGUUUUCUGCCUUCAUUAUGGAACACACUCUUCGGAUUAGGGUGUUUUGUGCUCAGGUUCAUGCUGGAAUGUGGCGUAAGAAUGGUGAUGCGGCCAUAUUAUCCUGUGAGUGCUAUCGCUCUUUUCGCUGGUACGUAAAUGGUUCAAUGUGCAAUCUUUAUACAUGGCCUACAAUGUAGAAUAAUGAAUUUCUUUUGUUAUGCUAAUCUAUAUGAGAUUCAAUCUUUAAAGAUUCCUCAGAUAGUAUUUAAACAUUCUUCUUCUGAACUUUUUGUGCAGGUCUGAGCAGGGUCUGGAACUUGACCUCUUUCUGCUUCAAUGCUGUGCUGCACUAGCCCCUGCUGAUCUAUUUAUUAAUAGAAUCUUAGAACGUUUUGAGCUAUCAAAUUACUUAUCUUUCAAUCUUGAACGCCCUAGUGAGUAUGUCUCACAUUUCCUUUUCUUUUCUAGACGACUUCCGUUUUUCAUCCACUAUGUGUUUUCUUCAGCGGAUUAAAUAUAUAGCACUCUUUUCUUUAAUUAAUGAUUUAGUCUUAAAGUACACCAUCAGUACAUAUGGACGAUCUUGACACUUAGAUUGUUCAUUGUCAGAAUAAUCAUAUUCCAUAAUUUGUUCUUAAUUGUACAAAAGUAAUACUUGUGAUUAAUACUGGUCCGUUCAAUUAGUCUUGUUAAGUGAUAUACACAUUUAUCAUAUGUUUAACAGUGGUUAGAUCCUUAUAGAAAGAAAUGCUUGAUUAGUUACAUCUUUCCGAACUUUUUUAGCGACAAUUCCAUUUUGGAAAAGAGGUAGUGACAUCUAUGAAUAGUGUCAUCCUUGCAUUCACAUGACUUAACAAUUCCAUUUUGGAAAAAAGGUAGUGGUAAAUGUUGAUGGUUUUAUAUAUUUUGAGAUUUUCUGAUGAUAGUUUUGCUCUUGAGAAUUAAUUAUUCUGAUGGCUUUUUCUAUUGAAUAUUUACAUGACAUGUGUUACUGAGUAGCAUGUAAUCUUCCAGAUUUUUUUGGUAUGUCCGUAGUAGUACUAAAAAGCACAAAAAGAAAAUAACCCAAGAAAUGAUAGAAGAGUCACUGAUCUUGUUAAAAUUUGUAAUUUUUAUAGUUUCACUGGAGCCAAAGAUGAUAAAUUGUGUCUUAUUUCAUGAAUCAUGGGAGAGGUGUCUGCACAAAUUUGGAUAUCCUGAAACUUAAACAAAUAAGAUCAGAAAGAAGAUUGGAUAAUAGCUAGGGACAUGUUUUUUAUAUUUAACUUCUCCCUUGAAGAGAGAGUGUGUGUGGGGCGGGGGAGGGGUUAGACAUUGUCCCCUACCUUGGAUAUUAAUAUCAAAAGAUGAAAUACAUAAAGGAGGGGGAGGCGAUAAGGUACCCCGUAUGCUAUUUUAUAGUUGAUCCUACUCAACUCUUUUCACUGUGAGUACUUUACAAAGGUUUGUAAAAAUCAUGCCUAUAGAGUAUAGUGUUCAUUAUACAUGUCGGGAAAAAAAUGUAUAGGGAUGUGUCUGACAUCUAUGAAUAGUGUCAUCCUUGCAUUCACAUGAUUUUGACGAGUCAAUCAAAAAACCCCUUUUAAGAUUGCUUGCUGCAGGAUAUUUGGUUGCUUAUCAGAGAACAGCGGGAGUUUGAGUUUGUAUAGGGGUUCUUAGCUGCUAUAUACUCUUUGAGUUGAUUGAUGGUCCCUUCAUUGAGGCUAUUGCUGGACAUAUAUUGGCUAAUAUUCUUAUUGGUUAACUAGACUUGAAUUUUGAUUCACGUGAGAUCUACACUGUAUGUUUUUGCUUGAUAGUGAGUGUAUCUUGUUGUAUAUGUUCUGUAUUGAUAAUGUGUGAUGCUGUGGGAUCUCACAAGUACUUUUUCCAUGCAUCUAAUACUUGCUCUAUCUAAUACCAUUUGCCAUUCUUUUCAGGUAUGAACCAGCUUUAGUUCAAGAGAUGCUUACUCUAAUUAUUCAGAUAGUGAAAGAACGACGGUUUUGUGGGCUAACCUCGAGUGGGUGUUUGCAAAGAGAGUUGGUGUAUAGACUAUCAAUUGGUGAUGCCACUCAUAGUCAGUUGGUGAAGUCUCUUCCUCGUGACCUCUCCAAGAUUGAUAAAUUUCAGGAAGUUCUGGACAGAAUAGCAAUGUAUUCAAAUCCCUCUGGCAUGAAUCAGGUUUAUGUCUAACAUUUUGUUUAUUCUUUAACCCUUGUACACUUCCAAAGGAAAUCAAUCUGAUCAUUUUGAUAUCCUGUGAGGUCCACUAAUUCCUUAUCUAUCACAGGGUAUGUACAAACUGCGGUUACCCUAUUGGAAGGAACUGGAUCUGUACCAUCCUCGAUGGAGUUCAAGGGACUUGCAAGUAGCAGAAGAAAGAUAUAUGCGUUUCUGUAAUGCAUCAGCAUUGACCACUCAGCUUCCAGGAUGGAGCAUGAUUUAUCAACCUCUUAGUCGAAUAGCUGAAGUAGCUACCUGUAGGACGAUCCUCCAAAUUAUCCGCACAGUUGUAUCUUAUGCUGCUUUUUCUGAUAAAUUAAAUGCUUCACGUGCUCCAGAUGGUGUUCUGUUAACAUCACUGCAUUUGCUGUCGCUAGCAUUGGAUAUUUGUUAUGCACAUAGGGAAUCUGGUGAACAUUCUUGCUGUGAGGGUGAUGUUGUUCCUAUUUUAGCACUAGCUUGUGAAGAAAUAUCAGUGGGUAGAUUUGGUGAUCAGAGCUUGCUGUCUCUACUCGUUUUCUUAAUGAGGAAACAUAAGAAAGUAAAUGACUUUAUGGAAGCUGGAAUGUUUAAUCUGUCAUCUUUGAUUGAAAGUCUCCUGAAGAAAUUUGCUGAACUACAACCCGAAUGCAUGGACAAACUGCAAGACCUUGCUCCGGAAGUGGUCAAUCAAUUAUUGCGAUCCUUUCCAAGUGAUGAUACUAAUAGCUUCAGAUCAUCUUCAGACAGUGAUAACCUUGCUCCGGAAGUGGUCAAUCAAUUAGCUCGAUCCUUUCCAAGUGAUGAUACUAAUAGCUUCAGAUCAUUUUCAGACAGUGAUAAGCGUAAGGCUAAAGCUCGAGAGAGACAAGCUGCUAUACUGGUGAGAUUACACAGAGAAAGUUAAUGAUAUUUGUUCAAUAAUUUGCUAAAUAUGGCCUGUUCAAAAAUAAUUUGGUAGAUAUGGAUAGUCUAUUUUCAGCUCUCUAAGCAAUUAGCGGGAAGUUUUUGAUUUUGCUGCUCUGUUGUGUCGACUGUUUGCUAUGUAUGUCAAGACUUGAGAAUUGGAAAUUCCUUCUUUGGCAUACGGGGGAGGGAUAGCCUAAUGGUAAAGACCCACAUCCAACCAUAAGGUUUGGGGUUCGAGUCACAUGCAACUGUUGGACUUCUAGGUAGGGGGUUUGGGGGUAGUGGACGGUACCAAAUCAAAAAAUAAUUAUCUUUAUCUGGCAUACAGGUUUUAGCAAUCUCCACAUUAAAUUCUACAUGCUUGGUCAAAGCAACUUUCGUUUUUGUCUAAUAGCAGUACUUAAAAAAAAAUACAUGUUUGGUAUAAAAAUCUUUAUGUACCAGAAAAGGAUAAUGUUAGUGGAAUGAAAAUAAUAGGGUAAACUAACAUCCCUCUAGUUACAAUCACAAAAAUACAUUCUCUAUUGUCUAAAAUCACAAUCUUCCCCGUUAGUGAUUUGGCUGGUGGAGUUAACUUUGAGUCUAUUGACUACGUUAUGCCUUACCUGGACUAUAGGCGUAUUAUGCUCAGAAUAAUAUUUAUUUUUUCAAGUAAAAUUAUAAGCUAAAAAUUCUUCAGUUGAUUAGUGAAGGUAUCUCUUUUCUUAACUCAGAAGUGUAUUGACAUUUUUUGUGUCAAUAUGUGUAAUUACAAUGACCAAAUGAAAAAUAAUACAACUUUGUAUUAAUGACAAAGCAUUCGUACUUAAUGUAGGUUAUGCUAUAAUUGCUGCUACUGAGAAUAUUCUGCCUCACACCUGUUCAGGACAAGAAACCUAUUCCAUUCCACAUGAAGUAGGAGACCUAACUUUAUCCUGCAAUAUUACAAUGCAUAUUCUCCGGAGGAGGAUGGUGACCUAGCAAACUCUAUCUUCUUUAGUAUUAUCACAGCUGCAUAAUUUAAUUAACGGAAGUUCUCCCAAACUGCAAAACAUCCUUCUAGGAUUCCAAACAGGCAAUUGUAAUAUUUUUUUAGAUGAACAGGCAAUUGUAAUUGUUAUUAUAUCUGUCUAUGACUUGAUGCUUUAUACGCCGCAAAGGAUAACACUGGAACAAUACUUCCUCCAUGAUAUCUUGAACAAGUAUUAGUGUUAAGUCUACCAUGGAAUGUUGGAGACCCAAAAUUAUUUAUAUCAUUGAGGGAAUUAUUGUUCCAGAUAAGAACCUAAGCGUGUGGCUUCGUGGUCAAUGAAAGGGGAGGAGAACCAUGAAUCUCAAGUUCAAGUCCCGCGGAGGCAAAAAGCGCUAAGUUUUUACUUUCCAUCAGUCCAAGCCUUGGUGGAUAGACACUUGGUACCUGUUGUUGGUGGGAGGUAGCAAGUAUCUCGUGAUAUUAAUCAAGGUGGGUGCAAGUUGGUCUGGACACGAUUAUAAAAAGGGUCCAUUUGCCUAAGUCUUGGUGGCAAGAGUUACCCUGUGUCUGUGCUAGUGGGAGAUAGCAGGUACCCUGUGAAAUUGUCGAGGUGUAUGCACAACUGGCCUGUAAACUAACAUCAAUUUUAAUAAAAUAGAGUAUUUCCGAAUAAAGGAAGACAGUUGGAUACCUGUUUGAACUUACAUAUUACCAAAUAUGGUAACAAACAUGUACAUGUAUCUCCUAUUUAUUAACAUGCACUGACCCCAUAAAGAAGCUCCUUGGUGCUAAAAAGAAUCAAGUGUUGCAAUUUAGUUUUCUCCCUAAAGUUGAAGCUAGCAUUGCUUUUUCUCUAUAUAUGAACAUAGAUUUAGAGAAUUGCACAACAUAUCAUAGAUUUGAAAGUUGUUUGCGUCAUUGUCAUUCUGAUACAUACUUCCAUUGAGCUAUGUUGCCAUACCAUAGUAGAACUAGAGAAAAUUUAAUCUCUCUGUUUUUAGUAAAUAGUACAGAACUCAGCCACUUUCUCAAUGCACUCCAUGCCUACUUUACAGGAGAAGAUGA
rnacentral:lncRNA from 1 species